UGCUUUUGUGUGAAAAGGUCUUCUUCGUAUCCCAAUUGACCUCUGAGAAGAAAAGAGGAGAAGUCCCUAUGUCUAGACUGGAAAUUGAGGAUGUCCCAGCAUCAGUUGUGGUGAACGAUGAAUGCUCUGGACUACUUGCUGGAGUCACAUUCGGCACCCGAAUCUCAUUCCAGUGAUCAUCAGACUUUUCACCUAAAUGUUUCGAAGAUGCUUGUGACGUACGGGAGACUUCAGUUUCAGUGUUGGGGGAUCCAAGGAAAUUCAAACGAAGCACUUUUGGUUGAGAGUUUUUCAUCUGAACAAUAUUGCAUUCCAGUUGCUCCAUACAGAUUCUAGCCUCUUUUUUCAUUCUCUUAUCCAAUACCACCCAUCGAGUCUGAACUCUCCUAGCUUCAGCAGCUACUACUCCAGACUGUGAUCCAGAAAUGACUUUGACCUUCACCUUCAUUUUAUUUGGAUCAUAAAUAUCAUGAAGUUGAAGCAACAUUUGAGUACACGAUUCUGAAAUGA
rnacentral:misc_RNA from 1 species